rnacentral:lncRNA from 1 species
GGCCUACUCAAAACCAGAUGGAGGUAGAAAGAAGUUGGCUUAAGCUCUCUUCUUUUUCUCUCUUCCUCUGUCCUCCUCUGCCUCUACUCUCUUCUCUACUCCCCUUCCCAUGCCCUAAAUAAACUCGAUUCUACACUACAAAAAAAAAAGAAGAAGAAGAAGUUGGCUUAAAGCAAAUAGAAAAGCCACGUGCAACCCCAGAGUGUCAAGUGAACAAGUAUUGUUCAAAAAAAAAAAAAAAACAACAAAAAAAAAAAAACACCAGGCUGGACACACUGUGAGUUUUAGAAAUUUAGAUGUCUAAAUCAUCUAAGUCACGAUAAUAAAUGAAGGUCUCCAAUUGUCUCUACAUCUCCAUGGACGCUCCUGUUUCCCAACAGUGCCUGAUAUGGGCUUUUAGGAGUGUUGUAAGGGGCUCUUCUUCAAGAUGUGUCAAGGGAAGCCUGAGGGCCCUGCUAAGUAAGUCUGGUUCUGACAUAGCUAAAUCACAGGCUUAUUGUCCCUUCCUUGCCUCCUCCUGGGCACAGUCUACAGGUAAAGUGGGCUUGGAUGUCCCUGAGUUCGUACCUUUGCUCCCUGAAAGCAGAUCUUAGUUAUGGUCAGGUUCCCCAAACAGCUGGAGGGUCCUCACUACUGUGGGAGGUUCCCCUCCUGCCAAGGGGCCCUGGUCUGCCUCGUAACCCCUGUCAUGGCCCCCAACUUUUUCUACCACAUUUGUGCCUACAGGAAAUUCCAGGCUUUUCUGGAGACCAUCUUAACUACUCACAACCUUGUCCUUUGACCUGUCUGGCCUGGCUCGGCCCUAGACGAACGUAAAGUAAAUAAAUAGAAUUCUGUUUGAUCACACACAGAACAUUUAUCUUUCAGCAAGACGCUUCCUGAGGAAACACAGUGAAAUGCUUUGGAAUGAGAGACUGCUGUGUCAGUGAGGGUACGCUGUAUGGAACCUCAAGAUGGAUAGUGGAAGGGUCAGCUU